rnacentral:lncRNA from 15 species
AUGUUUUACUCUCACAAUUCUGUUGUGUCUUGUUUGAUUUUAGACUAUUUCCAAAAUGAUGAGAAAAUAAACCAUUGCAAGACAAAUUUACUGGAGGAAGAGAAAGAAGGGGAAAUAAUGAAUUCUAUGGAUCAACUUGCAAAGAAUGACACUAAUCAGAACCUGCAGGACAGAUUGUUCAUCAAACCCACAUUCAUUAUCUUCAGCCAUGACACUGUUUUGGUUCUUCUCCUUAUUCACACGUUUGGAGCUGAGCGGAUUGAAUUCAUUUGCACAGUGGGUUGUCACAUGAGCUCGGCUGGUGGACUGCUUGAACUGACCAUUAGUUUGAUUGCCGUUGGUUGUGCCACGUAUAAAUUGAAACGUAAGUCACAGUUCAUCCACUUAUAUUGAUAUGCAGUGUGUUUCAUCU